rnacentral:rRNA from 1 species
GAUAAACGCUAGCGGCAGGCCUAACACAUGCAAGUCGAGGGGCAGCAUAUAAGAAACUUCGGUUACUUAUGAUGGCGACCGGCGCACGGGUGCGUAACGCGUAUGCAACCUACCUUUAACAGGGGGAUAAUUCGGAGAAAUCUGGUCUAAUACCCCAUAAUAUUUUAGAUGGCAUCAUUUAAAGUUGAAAACUCCGGUGGUUAAAGAUGGGCAUGCGUUGUAUUAGUUAGUUGGUAAGGUAACGGCUUACCAAGGCUACGAUACAUAGGGGGACUGAGAGGUUAUCCCCCCACACUGGUACUGAGACACGGACCAGACUCCUACGGGAGGCAGCAGUGAGGAAUAUUGGUCAAUGGACGCAAGUCUGAACCAGCCAUGCCGCGUGCAGGAAGACGGCUCUACGAGUUGUAAACUGCUUUUUUACGAGGGUAAUAUCACCUACGUGUAGGUGUUUGAAAGUAUCGUAAGAAUAAGGACCGGCUAACUCCGUGCCAGCCGCCGCCGUAAAAC